rnacentral:lncRNA from 1 species
AAAAUGUUGACAAAUAGUUAAAAAUUUUAGUAUCAUGUAUGAUAUCCUCGUAAUGUUAAUCGAUUUAUUCAAUAUCGUGCAUGAAUGAAUAUAAGGUUUUUGAAAAUGUGCAUAUUCUAAUUUGAAAAUAUGAUGAUGCACAAUUAAGAUUGAUACUUACCUUUGUCAUAAUUGAUGUAAAGGAUCUUCCCUUCUUUUUGACAAUGACAAAGGGGGAGAUAGCUAGCUUGCACAAGUCAAAAAGAUACAAAAACUUGAUUGCUAGCUUGCCUAUCUUAAGUAGCAAAGAUUGCUAACUUGCUUAUUUCAAGAAGCAAAAGUUGUCUUCUUGAACAUCACUAUCUUGCCCAUCUCAAGAAGCAAGACUUGCAACCUGCACAUUGCAAUAGGAAGUAAGAAUCGAUAGCUUACGCACUUCAAUAAGAAAGCUAUCUUGUAUUUGCUUU